rnacentral:rRNA from 1 species
GACGAACGCUGGCGGCGUGCCUAAUACAUGCAAGUCGAACGCGUCUACGUUAAUGAAAUCAAUGUGCUUGCACGGCGAUGGAUUUAACAUUAGACGAGUGGCGAACUGGUGAGUAACACGUGGGUAACCUGCCCUCAAGCAGGGGAUAACACUUGGAAACAGGUGCUAAUACCGUAUAACAACAAAAACCGCAUGGUUUUUGUUUGAAAGAUGGUUUCGGCUAUCACUUGAGGAUGGACCCGCGGCGUAUUAGCUAGUUGGUGAGGUAAUGGCUCACCAAGGCAAUGAUACGUAGCCGACCUGAGAGGGUAAUCGGCCACAUUGGGACUGAGACACGGCCCAAACUCCUACGGGAGGCAGCAGUAGGGAAUCUUCCACAAUGGACGAAAGUCUGAUGCAGCAACGCCGCGUGAGCGAUGAAGGCCUUCGGGUCGUAAAGCUCUGUCCUCAAGGAAGAUAAUGACGGUACUUGAGGAGGAAGCCCCGGCUAACUACGUGCCAGCAGCCGCCGUAAA